rnacentral:rRNA from 1 species
CCUACGGGUGGCAGCAGUGGGGAAUAUUGCGCAAUGGGCGCAAGCCUGACCCAGCAACGCCGCGUGAGGGAAGAAGGCUUUCGGAUUGUAAACUUCUUUUCUCAGGGACGAAGGAACUCACGGUACCUGAGCAAUAAGCCACGGCUAACUACGUGCCAGCAGCCGCGGUAAUACGUAGGGGGCAAGCGUUAUGCGGAUUUACUGGGUGUAAAGGGCGUGUAGGCGGGACUGCAAGUCAUAUGUGAAAGCCACGGGCUCAACCUGUGGCCUGCAUUUGAAACUGUAGUUCUUGAGUACUGGAGAGGCAGAUGGAAUUCCUGGUGUAGCGGUGAAAUGCGUAGAUAUUAGGAGGAACACCAGUGGCGAAGGCGGUCUGCUGGACAGCAACUGACGCUGAGGAGCGAAAGCGUGGGGAGCAAACAGGAUUAGAUACCCGAGUAGUC